rnacentral:rRNA from 1 species
AUAGGUUAAUGAGGCGAACCGGGGGAACUGAAACAUCUAAGUACCCCGAGGAAAAGAAAUCAACCGAGAUUCCCCCAGUAGCGGCGAGCGAACGGGGAGCAGCCCAGAGCCUGAAUCAGUGUGUGUGUUAGUGGAAGCGUCUGGAAAGGCGCGCGAUACAGGGUGACAGCCCCGUACACAAAAAUGCACAUGCUGUGAGCUCGAUGAGUAGGGCGGGACACGUGGUAUCCUGUCUGAAUAUGGGGGGACCAUCCUCCAAGGCUAAAUACUCCUGACUGACCGAUAGUGAACCAGUACCGUGAGGGAAAGGCGAAAAGAACCCCGGCGAGGGGAGUGAAAAAGAACCUGAAACCGUGUACGUACAAGCAGUGGGAGCACGCUUAGGCGUGUGACUGCGUACCUUUUGUAUAAUGGGUCAGCGACUUAUAUUCUGUAGCAAGGUUAACCGAAUAGGGGAGCCGAAGGGAAACCGAGUCUUAACUGGGCGUUAAGUUGCAGGGUAUAGACCCGAAACCCGGUGAUCUAGCCAUGGGCAGGUUGAAGGUUGGGUAACACUAACUGGAGGACCGAACCGACUAAUGUUGAAAAAUUAGCGGAUGACUUGUGGCUGGGGGUGAAAGGCCAAUCAAACCGGGAGAUAGCUGGUUCUCCCCGAAAGCUAUUUAGGUAGCGCCUCGUGAAUUCAUCUCCGGGGGUAGAGCACUGUUUCGGCAAGGGGGUCAUCCCGACUUACCAACCCGAUGCAAACUGCGAAUACCGGAGAAUGUUAUCACGGGAGACACACGGCGGGUGCUAACGUCCGUCGUGAAGAGGGAAACAACCCAGACCGCCAGCUAAGGUCCCAAAGUCAUGGUUAAGUGGGAAACGAUGUGGGAAGGCCCAGACAGCCAGGAUGUUGGCUUAGAAGCAGCCAUCAUUUAAAGAAAGCGUAAUAGCUCACUGGUCGAGUCGGCCUGCGCGGAAGAUGUAACGGGGCUAAACCAUGCACCGAAGCUGCGGCAGCGACGCUGAUGCGUUGUUGGGUAGGGGAGCGUUCUGUAAGCCUGCGAAGGUGUGCUGUGAGGCAUGCUGGAGGUAUCAGAAGUGCGAAUGCUGACAUAA